UCGGUCUCGUGCCAGUAUUUAGCCUUAGAUGGAGUUUACCACCAGCUUUGGGCUGCAUUCCCAAGCAACCCGACUCCAAGAAGACCCGAUCCCGGGUGCCGCUCUCGGGGGCCCAAGUCCUUCUGAUCGAGGCACAGCCUGUGGACGGUGUGAGGCCGGUAGCGGCCCCCGGCGCGCCGGGACCGGGUCUUCUUGGAGUCGGGUUGCUUGGGAAUGCAGCCCAAA